rnacentral:rRNA from 1 species
ACACGUAGGGGGCGAGCGUUGUUCGGAAUCAUUGGGCGUAAAGGGCGUGCAGGCGGUCGUGCAAGUCCGGCGUGAAAGACCCCGGCCCAACCGGGGGGACGCGCUGGAAACUGCAGGGCUUGAGUACAGGAGGGGAUGCCGGAAUUCCAGGUGUAGGGGUGAAAUCUGUAGAUAUCUGGAAGAAAACCAAUGGCGAAGGCAGGCAUCUGGCCGUGUACUGACGCUGAGACGCGAAGGUGCGGGGAGCAAACAGGUUUAGAUACCCUGGUAGUCCGUACAGUAAACGAUGUGCACCAGGUGGCGGGGGGUCGACCCCCGGUACCGUAGCUAACGCAUUAAGUGCACCGCCUGGGGAGUAUGCUCGCAAGGGUGAAACUCAAAUGAAUUGACGGGG